AAAAAAAUAAAAAGUGAUCAAUUAAAAUAACUGAACAAUAUAAUUAGAAAAAAGAGAAGAAAAAAAAUUCUAAAAUUUCACCUUCGCAUCCUAAUUCAACAACUGAAAAACUUUUUCAAAACCUAAAUAUUUUCUCACCCAAAACUUAAAAAGAAAAAUUCUCAAAAUUUAUAAUAUUUUCUUUUUACAUUUUUUUUAAAAAAAAAAUCAUCAUAGUAAACAAAGAAAACUGGUAAAAUUAUAUACUAUAAAAAAACCAUAUUUAAUCAAACAAUAGAUCUCGUCGAUGCCGAGAUCUCUGCCAAGACCAAGUGUCUCGUCGACGCCUCGUCCAGAUCUCAAUCAGACUUCGCACAGAGACAAACAGAGGAAGGGAUCCAGAUCUAGAAGUUUUCAAGCUGCAGUAAAGUCUGUUUGGGCCAUAGACGCCGGAGUUGCUCCGUCCGACUCUGAGCAAAGAGACGUCGAGAAAGAGGGGGAGAGAGAGAGAGAGAGUGGACAGAACCACCAUCGCGGUUUUCUGAUGCUUGCAAUCCUGGUGGGUGGAAAUCUCGUUCGUUGAUUGUGGGUAGAACGCUUCAUUGGGGUUGGGUGGAGGUACCGCCGGAGAAGAAGCCUGUGGGAAGAGAAAGAUGAGUCGACCAGAUUUAUUUUUAAGUUUAUUUAUUUUUUAUUUUUUUUAUUCAUUCAGUUUUUGAUUUUAAUGUUUUUUUUUUUAUUGAGAUAAAAUGCUAUUAUAUUAAACAAAGAGUUAAAAUACAAUAGGCAUAAUUGACUGAGGAACUUCCUCCAACCAUGAACAUUUAAUUUCCGCCGAAAGAGCAUAUCUAGCCAGCAAGUGAGCGGCAUUAUUAGCAGAUCUAUAAAUAUGAGAGACCUGAACUCCAGGGAAAUUGGAAACUAAAAGAGAAAUGUCGCUAAGAAAACUAUGGAAAUCAGAAACUAGCUCCUGCGAAGAUAAUAAACCGUUAACUACUGCCAAAGAAUCCGUUUCAAUGAAGUGCACUGGUAGUUGCGACCCGAAGGAGGAUUGAGCCAAGAGACUGCCGAAUUACCUGCUGAAGAUAGAGCAGGAGAAGUUGUUGAUGCCGAAGUUGCUGAUGUUUGUCUAGCAGAGUGAUAAUCCUCCAAGUAAGAGAGUGCAAAAUAAAGGAGAACAUCAAAUGGUUUUGGUUUCGUACCAUGUUUCUCUUUAUUCCUUUCUGUCCAAAUGCUCCAUAAAAUAGUUGCAAAUUGUUCAAGCUGUAGAGAAGACCAGCAAGAAGAAAUAUGAAGAAAAAAUUCCAUCAAUUUCAUUUCUGGUGCAACCAAAUCAGCGAUGUUGAAUGCUGAAUUUUGCCAAACUUUCUUGGCCCUUUUGCAGAAAAAGAGAGCAUGAGAAAUGGUUUCUUUAUUUCUGUUACACAACGAACAGCGAUCGGUAUCCGAAAUGUGUCGAUAGUGAAGGAUAUCCGCAACUGGGAGACAAUCAUGAAUAGCACGCCAUAAGAAAAUUCUAAUCUUGGAAGGCACUUUCAUUUUCCAAAACUUUUGCCACCAUUGUUGAGCUUGUAUACUGCUGACAUUCGGUUAUUGAUCUUCCAGAUCAGUAGCAAGCUUGUAUCCCGAUUUAACUGUAUAGAAACCAUGAGAAUCAUGAUGCCAAAUAAGUUGAUCU